GGCUAGCGGCGAUACAUUUUCUAAGUGGGAAUUGGAUCGAUACUCACGAUAUGUCUUGGCUUGAGGGUGGUAGCUCUCCAUCAAGCGGUGCGUUCCGGAAUUGUCACAACGGGGAGCGCUGUCCCCGAAGACGGUCCCUCGGGUCUUGUAGUGCUUAGAGCCUCCCCGAAUGAAAGAGAUUUUGGAUUGUGAGUUAUUAGAGUUAAAAAGGUUAACCGGUAAGAUUGGGUAAAAAGCCAAA
rnacentral:lncRNA from 1 species